rnacentral:rRNA from 1 species
ACCUCAGUAACGGCGAGUGAAGCGGUAACAGCUCAAAUUUGAAAUCUGGGUCUUUCAGGCUCCGAGUUGUAAUUUGUAGAAGAUGCUUCGGGUGCGGCUCCGGUCUAAGUUCCUUGGAACAGGACGUCAUAGAGGGUGAGAAUCCCGUAUGUGAUCGGCCGCUUGCGCCCAUGUGAAGCUCUUUCGACGAGUCGAGUUGUUUGGGAAUGCAGCUCCAAAUGGGUGGUAUAUUUCAUCUAAAGCUAAAUAUUGGCCAGAGACCGAUAGCGCACAAGUAGAGUGAUCGAAAGAUGAAAAGCACUUUGGAAAGAGAGUUAAACAGUACGUGAAAUUGUUGAAAGGGAAGCGCUUGCAACCAGACUUGCGUGUUGUUGAUCAUCCGGGGUUCUCCCCGGUGCACUCGACCUCACUCAGGCCAGCAUCGGUUUCGGUGGUUGGAUAAAGGCCUUGGGAAUGUAGCUCCUCUCGGGGAGUGUUAUAGCCCUCGGUGCAAUGCAGCCUACCGGGACCGAGGACCGCGCUUCGGCUAGGAUGCUGGCGUAAUGGUUGUAAGCGACCCGUCUUGAAACACGGACCAAGGAGUCUAACAUCUAUGCGAGUGUUUGGGUGUCAAACCCAUACGCGUAAUGAAAGUGAACGGAGGUGAGAACCCUUAAGGGUGCAUCAUCGACCGAUCCUGAUGUCUUCGGAUGGAUUUGAGUAAGAGCAUAGCUGUUGGGACCCGAAAGAUGGUGAACUAUGCCUGAAUAGGGUGAAGCCAGAGGAAACUCUGGUGGAGGCUCGCAGCGGUUCUGACGUGCAAAUCGAUCGUCAAAUUUGGGUAUAGGGGCGAAAGACUAAUCGAACCAUCUAGUAGCUGGUUCCUGC